GAUGAAGAACGUAGCGAAAUGCGAUAAGUAAUGCGAAUUGCAGAAUUCCAGUGAGUCAUCGAAUCUUUGAACGCACAUUGAGCCCUUUGGCAUUCCGAAGGGCAUGCCUGUUCGAGCGUCAUUAUCACCCCUCAAGCCCCCCUGGCUUGGUGUUGGACGGUUUUGGUGGGACGUGCAGCGUCUCACCCCUCCUAAAGACAAUGACGGCGGCGUCGUUGGAACCCCCGGUACACUGAGCUUCUUAACUGAGCACGUACUGGAUGCGGGUACGCGAUGCACGGUCUGCCUCCCCUUUAGGGAGAACUUUUUCUUAAGGUUGACCUCGGAUCAGGUAGGAAUACCCGCUGAACUUAAGCAUAUCAAUAAGCGGAGGA
rnacentral:misc_RNA from 1 species